rnacentral:lncRNA from 1 species
GACCUGUCUCUGAGACUAGCUUCCUCCUUACAGGGAUGUGGUUUUCCUUAUGGACUGCUCAUUCUGAUCAGAUGUGUCCUCUGAAAGGCAGAGACAGGGGAAGGUGCGUCCUCGUCGAGCUCCCGCCUGUACCUUCCUAGUACCUCUGGCCAGCAGCCUGUGUGCCCGUGCUCCCUGGACAUCCGUGAAUGUUUGAUGCUACAUCUCUACCCAAACUGAAGCUUCCCGCCUGCAUUCUGUCAACGGCACUUGCGGGCGGGCCGGGGGGGGGGGGGAAGACAACUUUUGGAACAGAAACUCCACCCAUCCUCCUACUCCCUACUACCUGCAAUCAAACCAGCUAAAACACCCCACCUCACACU